rnacentral:lncRNA from 1 species
UUCCUGAAGUCUCACCCUUAUUUGAGGAAAAUUGACAACUGAAAAUGCCAAGGGAGGGAUAGUUAUCUUACUUCAAUGAUGAAAGCCAUGAAGAGCUAGCUACCCAUUCUCUGAAGAUGGUUCUGUGACCAUGUACAUGCAGGAAGCAUGAAAUGACUCAGCGUGUAUUAAAGAAAAGGAGAGAGCUCAUGAAUUUGCAUGAGAAAAAAUUAUUGAUGGGAAAUGAGGAUGUGGAGGAAAGAAAAUGGUGUUAUAAGCUUGGAAACUACAAAAAGACCUUCUUGUUUCAUGUAUGCACAUAAGAACGUUCUAUGUCAUUGAAAGGAUGGUUGCGAGGCCUAAUUAACCUCUAGCAGUGGAGGGCCCACUGGCAG